AUAUAUGCAUAUGUCAUUCUCUAAUUGAUAAAUGAUCAAAUGAUUUGAACAGUUUUUGGAUGAAGAAAUCAAAUCUCUAUACAUAAACACUUUGAAUAAUUAUUGAUUACAGACAUCAUCUCAUACUUAUAAUAAGGGUUAAAAUAAUAAAAGGGCAAAAUGACAAAUGUUGGAGAGAUGUGGACAAAUAGGGACACUAAUAUAAUGUUGUUAGAACUGUGAACUGAACCAACCAUUUUGGAGAGGAAUCUGUAAUUAUUGUCAAAGAGUUAUCAAAUUUCAUAUACUGUUUUACCUAGUAAUGUCACUAUUAGCUUUAUUUCCUAAGGUGAUCAAGGAAAGAGGAAAAGAAACCACAUGCUCAAAUAUUUAUAGCAGCUUUUUUCUGUGGUGGCAAAGAACUGGAAACUGAAGAGAUGUCAUUAACUGGGGAAUAAUUGAACAUGUUCUGGUAUAUGAUUCUAGUGGAAUACUAUUGUGACAUAAGAAAUGACAAAUAAGAUGAUAAAAAACCUAGAACACUUAUACAAAGUGAUAUGAAGUGAAGUGAGUAGGAUCAAGAGAACAUUGUACACAAUAACAACAAUAAUGUCUGAUGAUCAGCUGUGAAUGACUUGACUAUUAUCAAAAGGCAAGGAACCAGGACAACUUCAAGGGAUUCAUGGGAAAAAAAAAACAGAGACUGAAAGCAGGUAGCCUGUUUACAGCACUUGGCUACUUCCUACCCUGGGACGUCAGGUCCUCGCCUUCUCUGAUUCCAACAACAACAAGCUUCGGCAGGAAAUGUCAAUCCCCAAAGAAGGAACCGCUCGUGUGCAAAGAACAGGGUCCACGACUGCUAGUGCUGCAGAGAAGGGACGACUUCGAUGUCCAGCACAGACCACAGGCACCCUCAAGCCCCCGGCCCCCUAGAGCAGCUGGGAGUCCCAGAAACAAACCCAGACCUGCUCACGCCAAUAAAGGUGAAUCACUUAUUCCUCAGGAGAGAGUCAAGCCCUUUCCCACUUCCUGCAUUCAGGGGCUCAUCGCUGUACUUCUAAUAUUCCAACCCUUCAAAGAUUCGGGCUCUUGAAAUGCCUGCCUCCUGUACACAUUGCUUCUUGUCCUGCUCAGUAACUCCCUUAAGGGACAAAGAGGAGGGAGAAAACGCAGAUAGAGCAGGAACCAAUCCCUUUGACCCCUAAAGAACCACUCUCAUGGGCCACCAAAGUAAGUCCAUAUGCCUGCUGUCCAAUCAAUUGCUCUACCUCAUUUUUAAUGAAGAUCUUCUAUUUUGUAACUUGAUUCGAGGCACUGGGGAGAAAUGCAUGGAAUGAAAUAUCCCCUUCUUGCAGGGAGAUCACAUUCUAGCUGAAGCCAGCUAUGCUCAGAUCAGAAGUGCUCGUCAUCGGCAGAUUUAUCAUAUCAGCCUGGAUCUCCUGCCAUGAAAUUCAGGAAGACUCCUGUCUAUGUUAAAGGGGAACUUUGAUCUACACUGCUGGAGAAAGUGGUCAUGUGAGAAAUAUCUGGGGACGUGCAUGCCUCUCUAUGGAUAUUUGCACACAAACGCACACAUAUUACAUGAUAUUAUGUAUCUAAAUGAGUAUAUGCACACACACAAACAUUUAUAUCCUCCCAUUUCAAAUAUUAGAAACAGGCAGAAAAAGGCCUGAUCAGGAUUUUCCUUCUUUCUUUUUUAAAAAUUAUGUUUUGAAUUUUCGGUACCUGGGUCAAGUGGCCCAAGCCAUGACACGGAGUCAACAGUAAAAGCUGCCUUUCCUCGAGCGGGAAGUUCAGGGAGAGAAAAGUUCACCCUAGCCUAUCAUCCAGGUGCUUCUUUUUUUUGAAGUAUUGGGUUUCCCAUUCCCACCCAGGCUGGCAGUUCUCAGGCCUGAUAUAACCACUCAUUGUCACAGCAGCUUUGAUCAACUCUCUUUACUACCUGGGUCACUUUUUCCCUCUUUAAGAAGCCUGGACUUUACUCCACUCUCUCCUGUAUCUCACUAUGUCAAUGCUUGCUGUUGAUCAAACAUCAGCUCAGAUGUUCUUCACUCAAGAGAACUGCAUUCAGCCUCCAAGGAAAGUGGAAUUACAUAAUGGAAUAACAUACAUGAGACUAUGGUAGCUUCCUAAGUAAUUAUUCUUGCUUACAUAAGGUAAUUUAUUUAUAUAUCUAUAUCCAUGAAAGAAGCUCAGAUCACUGAGGCAGCCCCAGGUAUCCCACUCUAGCUAUGGUUUAAGAGCUAUAUGGAGAUCAAGGACGAAGCAAAGUUGGAAUGGAAAAUCAUGGAUGGAAGAAUUCAUUUUCCCUUUACUUUAAAAGAUGCAGAAGUACUUAUUCUUUAUCCAUACCUUACUUAACCAUUUGAAAAUAUAUUUGAGAAUUGGUUAAUGAUGCUUAUCCUUUUUUAUUUGCAUAGAACAAUGGAGUUUACAAAGUAGUUUCAUGUCUUAAAAAAACCCCAAAACUUAGCUUCUGUCAUAGAAUCAAUCUAGUAUAGUGAUUCCAAGGCAGAAAAAUGGUAAGGGUUAAACAAUGGGAGUUAAGUGACUUGUCCAGAGUUAUGCAGUUAGGAAGUGUCUGAGUCCAGAUUUAACUUCGGACCUGCCAUCUCUAGGUUCUCAAUGCACUGAGUCACAUAAUUUUCCCCAUCGUGAUAUUUUUAAAAGUUUCUUCUCUGUUAUUAAGUAGUCUCUGCGGUUGCUUUCUGCUUCAAAUUUUGAGUUUAACACAUUGUCCAAAGACCUAAAGAUAUACUUUCAAAAAUGUUUUGAAAAUCAACUAUUUUUCCAUGGCAAAUUGAGCCCUAUAAUCACCUGCUAUGUUGUUUCUCUUCUUAGGGCCUCGGCUGAGAUCUUCAGACUAACUAUCCAAAUCUUUUCAUAACACUUUUGAUGGCUCAGUGCAAAGUAAUAAUCUCCUUCCUUGAACUCCUGAUGAUUUUUUGAAGGAAAAACAAUCUUUCCAAAUGCUUACUUUUUCAUAAGAAGGCAAGAAAGAGAUCCACCUCUAGAGAAGGAACUGUUGGAGUAGAAAUGCAGAUGAGAACAUAUGAUUCAUCACUUGUUGAUUUGGCUAUACAUUUUGGCUCUGUAAGAUUAUUCAGUUACAAAAAUGAAUAAUAUGGAAAUACGUUUUGCAUGAUAAUACAUGUAUAACCCAGAUUGAAUCGCUUGUGAGCUCUGGGAGAGGGAAGGGAAGAAGGGAGGGAGACAGUAUGGAUCAUAUGACUUUGGGAAAUGUAUGUGAAAACGUGUUAUUAAAAAAAAUAAGUAGACAGCAGGAUGAAAUAGAAAAUAUAAGAGCCUUGAGCUUUAGUUCUCUAGAGGAAAUCUCCCAGUAGAACACAAACUGGGACAUGCCUUUUCAAGAGUCAAAACUUGGGGGUGUCAGUCCAGGUGGGAAUUGUGUGCCUGCUGUCUGAAUGCCAAGAAAAGCAGUUUAUCAAGGAUGAUCCUGUGGAGAGAUCGGCCACUAGAUAAUAAAUUGGUUGGGUCCACAGAAACAUCUGGAGCAUCCACAAAGAUAUGAAGGGGUUUUGAUUUUUGCUCAUGAAGAUACUUUCUGAAAGUAAUGAACUAGCAGCAGACACUUACAGAGAGACAUGAUACAAAUGCUUCAUGAUAUUAAAGGUCAAAUUUAAAGGACUUUCAUUUCUUUUCUGCCUUAUCAUCAAUAGGGAACUCAAGAAAAACUGCCUCCAGUUACCUCUGACCAUGGUCUUCAUGUUUUGUUUUUAAGAAUAUUGCUUAAAUUGGAAGUGCUUAAUUUCCCUUAUGCUUUGGAAUUUAAAGAGUGUGUUUUCUUUGCACAGAUAAUAUUCCCAUGUUUUAUAUGUUUCAGUUAAUAUUCCAGAAAGUAGGAUUGAUUAAUGUUCAGUAUUAGUCCAAAAGACUGGGUAAAGUUCAAAUAAACACCCCCCAAAAUAC